rnacentral:rRNA from 1 species
GAUGAACGCUGGCGGCGUGCCUAAUACAUGCAAGUCGAGCGAACAGACGAGGAGCUUGCUCCUCUGACGUUAGCGGCGGACGGGUGAGUAACACGUGGAUAACCUACCUAUAAGACUGGGAUAACUUCGGGAAACCGGAGCUAAUACCGGAUAAUAUAUUGAACCGCAUGGUUCAAUAGUGAAAGACGGUUUUGCUGUCACUUAUAGAUGGAUCCGCGCCGCAUUAGCUAGUUGGUAAGGUAACGGCUUACCAAGGCAACGAUGCGUAGCCGACCUGAGAGGGGGCGGGCCCACAGGGAAACUGAGCCGCGGUCCAGACCCCUAGGGGAGGCAGAGAGGGGGAAUCUUCCGAAAAGGGCGAAAGCCUGACGGAGAAACGCCGCGGGGGUGAAGAAGUGCUUCGUGUAGUAAAACUCUUUUAGUGGGGAAAAACAAAUUUGAAAGUAACUAUGCACGUUUGGACGGAACCAAUACAGAAACCCGCGGCAAACCCCGG